rnacentral:tRNA from 1 species
GGCUUCAUAGUUGAAAGAAGACGUUAGACUGCAAAUCCAAAAAUGCAAUUAUGCUAAACCUU